UACGUAGGCAGCGAGCGUUGUUCGGAGUUACUGGGCGUAAAGCGUGCGUAGGCGGUUUUGUAAGUUUGGUGUGAAAUCUCCCGGCUCAACUGGGAGGGUGCGCCGAAAACUGCAAGGCUGGAGUGUGGGAGAGGUAGGCGGAAUUCCUGGUGUAGCGGUGAAAUGCGUAGAUAUCAGGAGGAACACCUGUGGUGUAGACGGCUUACUGGACCAAUACUGACGCUGAGGAGCGAAAGCUAGGGGAGCAAACGGG
rnacentral:rRNA from 1 species